UUUUCCGGUUGAUCCUGCCGGAGGCCAUUGCUAUCGGUGUCCGAUUUAGCCAUGCGAGUUGCACGUUUAACGUAGCAAACUGCUCAGUAACACGUGGCCAAACUGCCCUAUGGAUCGGGAUAACCUCGGGAAACUGAGGCUAAUCCCGAAUAGUGCAUCCAGCCUGGAACUGGCGGAUGUACGAAAUGCUCCGGCGCCAUAGGAUGUGGCUGCGGCCGAUUAGGUAGACGGUGGGGUAACGGCCCACCGUGCCGAUAAUCGGUACGGGUCAUGAGAGUGAGAGCCCGGAGACGGACUCUGAGACACGAGUCCGGGCCCUACGGGGCGCAGCAGGCGCGAAACCUUUACACUGCACGACAGUGCGAUAGGGGGACACCGAGUGCGAGGGCAUAGAGCCCUCGCUUUUGUAGACCGUAAGGAGGUCUACGAAUAAGGGCUGGGCAAGACCGGUGCCAGCCGCCGCGGUAACACCGGCAGCCCAAGUGAUGGCCGAUAUUAUUGGGCCUAAAGCGUCCGUAGCUGGCCGCGCAAGUCCGUCGGGAAAUCCACCUGCCCAACAGGUGGGCGUCCGGCGGAAACUGUGUGGCUUGNAUCUUGAAAACCCAAACGCAACAUCCAAAGUAGGAGUGAAAUCCCGUAAUCCCGGACGGACCACC
rnacentral:rRNA from 1 species